rnacentral:rRNA from 1 species
GACGAACGCUGGCGGCGUGCUUAACACAUGCAAGUCGAACGGAAAGGCCCUGCUUUUGUGGGGUGCUCGAGUGGCGAACGGGUGAGUAACACGUGAGUAACCUGCCCUUGACUUUGGGAUAACUUCAGGAAACUGGGGCUAAUACCGGAUAGGAGCUCCUGCUGCAUGGUGGGGGUUGGAAAGUUUCGGCGGUUGGGGAUGGACUCGCGGCUUAUCAGCUUGUUGGUGGGGUAGUGGCUUACCAAGGCUUUGACGGGUAGCCGGCCUGAGAGGGUGACCGGCCACAUUGGGACUGAGAUACGGCCCAGACUCCUACGGGAGGCAGCAGUGGGGAAUAUUGCACAAUGGGCGGAAGCCUGAUGCAGCAACGCCGCGUGCGGGAUGACGGCCUUCGGGUUGUAAACCGCUUUCGCCUGUGACGAAGCGUGAGUGACGGUAAUGGGUAAAGAAGCACCGGCUAACUACGUGCCAGCAGCCGCGGUGAUACGUAGGGUGCGAGCGUUGUCCGGAUUUAUUGGGCGUAAAGGGCUUGUAGGUGGUUGAUCGCGUCGGAAGUGUAAUCUUGGGGCUUAACCCUGAGCGUGCUUUCGAUACGGGUUGACUUGAGGAAGGUAGGGGAGAAUGGAAUUCCUGGUGGAGCGGUGGAAUGCGCAGAUAUCAGGAGGAACACCAGUGGCGAAGGCGGUUCUCUGGGCCUUUCCUGACGCUGAGGAGCGAAAGCGUGGGGAGCGAACAGGCUUAGAUACCCUGGUAGUCCACGCUGUAAACGGUGGGUACUAGGUGUGGGGUCCAUUCCACGGGUUCCGUGCCGUAGCUAACGCUUUAAGUACCCCGCCUGGGGAGUACGGCCGCAAGGCUAAAACUCAAAGGAAUUGACGGGGCCCCGCACAAGCGGCGGAGCAUGCGGAUUAAUUCGAUGCAACGCGUAGAACCUUACCUGGGUUUGACAUGGAUCGGGAGUGCUCAGAGAUGGGUGUGCCUCUUUUGGGGUCGGUUCACAGGUGGUGCAUGGCUGUCGUCAGCUCGUGUCGUGAGAUGUUGGGUUAAGUCCCCCAACGAGCGCAACCCUUGUUCACUGUUGCCAGCACGUUAUGGUGGGGACUCAGUGGAGACCGCCGGGGUCAACUCGGAGGAAGGUGGGGAUGACGUCAAGUCAUCAUGCCCCUUAUGUCCAGGGCUUCACGCAUGCUACAAUGGCUGGUACAGAGAGUGGCGAGCCUGUGAGGGUGAGCGAAUCUCGGAAAGCCGGUCUCAGUUCGGAUUGGGGUCUGCAACUCGACCUCAUGAAGUCGGAGUCGCUAGUAAUCGCAGAUCAGCAACGCUGCGGUGAAUACGUUCCCGGG